rnacentral:rRNA from 1 species
CCCUUAGAUGUCCUGGGCCGCACGCGCGUUACACUGAUGCAUUCAACGAGCUUAUAACCUUGGCCGAGGGGCCUGGGCAAUCUUGUAACGUGCAUCGUGAUAGGGAUAGAUUAUUGAAAUUAUUAAUCUUGAACGAGGAAUUCCUAGUAAACGCAGAUCAUCAAUCUGCAUUGAUUACGUCCCUGCCCUUUGUACACACCGCCCGUCGCACCUACCGAUUGGAUGGUCCGGUGAAGCCUCGGGAUUGUGGUUCUUGCCGCUUUAUUGUGGCGUGACCGCGAGAACUUGUCUAAACCUUAUCAUCUAGAGGAAGGUGAAGUCGUAACA